rnacentral:rRNA from 1 species
CAGUCGACGCUUUUUCUUUCCCGGAGCUUGCUCCACCGAAAGAAAAGAGCGGCGAACGGGUGAGUAACACGUGGGUAACCUGCCCAUCAGAAGGGGAUAACACUUGGAAACAGGUGCUAAUACCGUAUAACACUAUUUUCCGCAUGGAAGAAAGUUGAAAGGCGCUUUUGCGUCACUGAUGGAUGGACCCGCGGUGCAUUAGCUAGUUGGUGAGGUAACGGCUCACCAAGGCAACGAUGCUUAGCCGACCUGAGAGGGUGAUCGGCCACACUGGGACUGAGACACGGCCCAGACUCCUACGGGAGGCAGCAGUAGGGAAUCUUCGGCAAUGGACGAAAGUCUGACCGAGCAACGCCGCGUGAGUGAAGAAGGUUUUCGGAUCGUAAAACUCUGUUGUUAGAGAAGAACAAGGAUGAGAGUAAAAUGUUCAUCCCUUGACGGUAUCUAACCAGAAAGCCACGGCUAACUACGUGCCAGCAGCCGCGGUAAUACGUAGGUGGCAAGCGUUGUCCGGAUUUAUUGGGCGUAAAGCGAGCGCAGGCGGUUUCUUAAGUCUGAUGUGAAAGCCCCCGGCUCAACCGGGGAGGGUCAUUGGAAACUGGGAGACUUGAGUGCAGAAGAGGAGAGUGGAAUUCCAUGUGUAGCGGUGAAAUGCGUAGAUAUAUGGAGGAACCCAGUGGCGAAGCGGCUCUCUGGUCUGUACUGACGCU